CAGCCGCCACGGUAAUACGUAGGGUGCAAGCGUUAAUCGGAAUUACUGGGCGUAAAGCGUGCGCAGGCGGUUAUAUAAGACAGAUGUGAAAUCCCCGGGCUCAACCUGGGAACUGCAUUUGUGACUGUAUAGCUAGAGUACGGCAGAGGGGGAUGGAAUUCCGCGUGUAGCAGUGAAAUGCGUAGAUAUGCGGAGGAACACCGAUGGCGAAGGCAAUCCCCUGGGCCUGUACUGACGCUCAUGCACGAAAGCGUGGGGAGCAAACAUGAUUAGAUACCCCCGUAGUCCCUGUCUCUUAUAC
rnacentral:rRNA from 1 species